CUGCGUAUACACGCUCGGGUGAGCACGCUUGGUGAUACAUGGAGGGGAGAGUGCCAAAAGGGGGAAGAAAUCAGCUGAUAUCGAAGCGCACAAUUUCUAGAGCGUUCACGCACUCUGGGAGGCAACGAUAGGAAAAUAUCUCUCAUUUUACGUGCAAUAAUUCACAACGUGGACAACAAAAGAUAUGGAAUAUCGCUGUAUUGUAUAGACUGUAGAUAGGGUCAUCAGAUAGGAUCGGUGGAGCUAUAUUCUAGAAAAGGACAGCGAAUCGAUAAUUCAUAAUAGGCUUGUUUGAAGGAAAUAUAACCGGAUGUUCAAGAAAG